GACGAACGCUGGCGGCGUGCUUAACACAUGCAAGUCGAACGAAGUGGCGAACGGGUGAGUAACGCGUAAUCAACCUGCCCUUCAGAGGGGGACAACAGUUGGAAACGACUGCUAAUACCGCAUACUAUCAGAUGAGCCUAGGUCGGAUUAGCUAGUUGGUGGGGUAAAGGCCUACCAAGGCGACGAUCCGUAACUGGUCUGAGAGGAUGAUCAGUCACACUGGAACUGAGACACGGUCCAGACUCCUACGGGAGGCAGCAGUGGGGAAUAUUGGACAAUGGGCGAAAGCCUGAUCCAGCCAUGCCGCGUGAGUGAUGACGGCCUUCGGGUUGUAAAGCUCUGUUAAUCGGGACGCGGUACCGGAAUAGAAAGCCACGGCUAACUACGUGCCAGCCGCCGCGGUAAUAC
rnacentral:rRNA from 1 species